AAAGAAAGGGCAAUAGGUAAAUAAUGGAAUUACGCCUUAUUAACCAAAUAUUUAAAAUAUAACAUUCUUAACAAAAUAAUGUAACACCAUACUCUAACAUGUCAUUUAUGUUUUAGGUUAUGUCGACCGUAUACAAACUAUGAAAUAUCACAAUUUUGUUGAACACUCUUUUACAUCAAUUACUCAAAUACAUCUAAUAAGCAUUUUGAAAGUAGUGGAAAAAUAAAAAAAGGCGUAUAUCAAGCAAAGCUCAACAAGAAAUAUAUUGAAAUCAGAAAAUCUGAACUUUUAUUAUUGGAAAGUAAAACGAAAACUUGCGAGUUGUGAGAAAGGAUGAAGAGUAACUUGGGGAGAGGGGGAGGGACAAUUCAGUGCCUCUGGUGGAUAUUAUUACUACUAAAAACGUAUUUACAAAUAUUCUAUUUGAUGGUCUAGAUUGGUUCUAACUACGGUCAUGCAGGAUGUAGGUCAUGUGGGGUCAUGUUUUCUGAAAUUGUUCGUAUGUUCAUGAUUGGAAAAGAACAAUAAAUUUGUCAGAGGUAGAGGAAUCUAUUUUAUCAUUAGUCACAUGAUGUAAUAGUAUGAUACACUUAAAAGAACGCUAAAAAAGGAAAUUAAAUACUAUUCUAGUUUCGUUUUUUGCAGAAUGUUAUGUAUCAAAUUAUUAGAUUAACUACAGUAUAUGAAUAUUUAUUGUAUUGGUAUUGUUUAAUAAUAGCAAAUUCUUACUAAUAAUGAAUCUCGAAGGGCUUAAAGGGGAAAGGUUAACAAAAAAAAAACAUAAGAAAAUACAAGAUUUUAAGGUUUAGAGAAUCUGAUCUCUAGGAAUUAUAAAAAUGAAUUCAUAGGAUUUGUAUGAUUGUUUAAAAUUUGUUAACAGAGAAAGAAUCACUUGAUGCAGUUGAAAUUGAAUAAACAGGUUUAUUUCUGUUUAAUAUGUAGGACUCAAAUAUUUUAGCCUCUUCUCGUUUGUAUUUGUUAGUAGUGUUUAUUAAUAUUCUUUGUUUUAAAAUUAUCAAUGUCAAUGUUUUGCAAUUUUCUUAUUCAUUUGACCAUGUAAAUUAUUUUUAUAAUUUUUUCAAAAGUUAUUAUACAUAUAUGCAUAAAAUGAUGGACAACAUCCACUAAAUGAGAAAUAAUCAAAGAAUUAAAUAAGCUAACAAAUAAAGUAGAAAUAGAACAAUAUCUAACUGACAAUGAGCUUUGAUAUUGUAACAUAUUUCAAAUAACCCGCGCACAUUAUAACCUUCCGGCUACGUAUUAUAAACGGACUCAUCCGAUAAUCUCUCUUCGUUCUUUAUAUUCUUCCGUCUUUCUUAAACUUGGAUUAACUUAUGCCUUUCGCGUUACGGGAAAAAUACGUUCUGCUCCAAGUUCCUGACAGACAAAGUCGACCCACACGACUAGACGGACUUAUAGUUAGUCGCUUAAUGUGUGGAAUGUGACGGGUUUGAACUAAUGCGCUGUUACGUGUACCGAUUAUUCAGUGGUGAGAAACUAGUGUAUCUAGAUCAUUUUAACGCGAGUGCAGCGCACUUAAGGAAAAAUUGAAAAGACAGAAAGUGCACUCACGUGGCCAUCCAUUAUCUCCAAUUUUUAUUCUGCCAAGUUUUCAACGAGGAAAUAACAACGAAUUCAUUAUUAAAAUUUGAUUUAAUCGGAAACACUGAUUCAGGUGUACAUACAAUCAUGGAUAUGUCAUUUUUGGUUGGCCAAUAGAAAAAAUGGAAAGAGAGAUAUUGCGGAAACAGUAUAAAGCGCAACGAUAUUUCAAGUGUAAAGUCGCAACAAAAAUUUAUAGGAAAACAUUUAUUUUUCUCAAUUAAAUUUGAAGUAAAAUCGUUUCUGUGUCACUGAUAAUUACAGAAUUAAAUAUGUUAAUUGUAACAUACAUCAAUAAUUAUUUCAAUUACGAAUUCUUUUAAUAAAGAGAGGAAAAAAUAACAGAUUGAUACAAGUUUUCUGUAAAAUUUAUGUAGUUUAUUUAUUUUAUAUGUAAAACACGACAUGGUUCGCAAUAAAAAUAUUUAAAAUUUUUAAUGUUCUUAACUGUAAUAAUCUGUUACGUUACAUUACCAUCCAAAUAUUCGUGAUAUUCUCUGACUGAUGGCUUUAAUUGUCAUGCAAAAUGUUUGAAUAAAAGUCGCUUGUGAGUAUGUAAUAUUAAUUAUUUUUUGGAAUUAGUCAUUACCUAUAAAAAAAAAUAAUUUCAAAGUUUACGAGCAUUACAUUGUACAUCGAGCCUAAAAAGGUUAACCUAAAAUUUUUAACCUAUAUAUGUAUAUGUGACGCGUCCCAGAAACCGUUAUAUAUAACAGUGUGCCGUCAAUAUUUGUAUGAAGAAUCAAAGUACCACUAUAGUAUAUAUGUAUACAUAUGCAUUGAUACCUCUUUUAUAAAUUAAUAAAUUUAUGCAUUCAAGAAAAAAUUUACUUAUUACAAUCAGGCAUACAGUAAUGGUACAAAAAAUCUGCAAAGGUGGUGUAACUCCAUAAGAGAUAUUAAGCAAUAAAGAUAAUAAAUCAGUUGCUGGUUCCUCAAAGUAUUGCUAUUCUUCCAAAUGAAUCGAUGGGAAUCAUUUGAUAAUUGCACAACAACUUUGCAAUUGCAAUACAACUAACACAAUUGAAGUUCAAAUGUAACUUCAAAUAUAUUCUUAAUGUAGAAGAAUCACUAAAACUUCAUCACUACAUAUAGAUUUCAUGUUCUUCUUGCAGACUCUACAUUGUAAAUAUUAUAAUGACAAAACCUUGAAAUUGAUUAAAGGUAUACCAUUGUUUUGAGAAUUUUAUGAUUUCUUGCCUGAUGUACAUGACAAAUGAUGUAAUAUCUUGUUCCAAGGUAAACUACUUACCUCAAUUUCCUUUUUCAGAGAAUAGAAAUACAUUGAGUAAUAUCACAACUUCCUUUAUUGGAAGAUGAGACAUUAUUGAAAUUUCUUUUACCUUUUUUUACGACAAAACACAAUUUCAAAGAUAUCGAAAUGAUGACAUAAACUCUCCCUAUCGUGCAGACAUAAAAUUAUGUUAGCAGUCGUGUAUUACCACAUUGCAGUAUAAAAUUACAAGGAAGUGCUUAAGAAACCUAUAUCUAUGUACAAGUAAUUAUAGGCUUCGCUCAUCUAUGAUAUUUUUCUUAACCAUGAGAAUAUUCUGUUCUAAUUAGUAUUCUGAAAAGGUAAAUAACUAAAAGUAAAUGAUACAUUUAAUAUUUUACUCACUUUUAGAAAAAGAUAUAACCAGGUAUUGUUAAAUAAAAUUUCAAAUUUGAACAAAAAUUCCAGACAGUCUUAAUGUAUUAAUUAUUUCUAACGUAUGUCACACAGAUUGCAGACAAGCAUACAUUAUGUAACUAAUACAACACGUUGGAUGCAUUACAAUUACGAUACACGCGAUAUUACGUUGUGAACUUUCAGACGUCAAGAACUGUUAAUACAACCUGAUUGUUCUUAAUAUUAUGCAUUUAUUAAACAUGUAUGAGUGUCGGUAAUAAUUAAAACUGAGACUGUUUAGACGUUUUAUAUUAGUUUUAACAUUCUACACAUUUCGGAAUUUGAUGCUCGGUUUUUUUAAGAAUAAAAACCAAAAACAUUACGUAGGAAAAAUCAUGAUUAUCAUAUGUAUAAUGAAAUUAAAUAAUUACAAUUAUAAAAAAUUGUUUAAAUCGACACGAUCUAAUCUAAAUAGAUAGAAUUAUUAUUUUAAAUUUAAAUUUAAAUAUUACAUGCAAGUUAUAACGGGCACUAAUAUAGUAAGAUAACAACUCUAACGGGCAAAAAGUGAUAAUGAUCGUAAUUUACAUUCCUAAACAAUUUGUCACUUUCAUAUAUUUACACGGAUAUAUACUAUAAAGUUUGGGAAACUUGCGAAAUAUCAAAAUAAGAUAUUUAAAAGAACCGUCAAUUCGAAGGCGUAUUCGUAGGCGUAUCUCGUACAAUUAUCUUAAAAUUAUUUGCGCCAUUAAAUGUACAGUGUCUUUGAUUUUGUAACGUAGAUGUUCUGUCACUGUUAAGGAGUUGGGUAAAGUCCAAUAUUUAUUCGUUACACGCUCACGAUUCAAGACCACUGCGCUAUACUUAGCGUAUAGAGGACGCGAUUCUAAAUCGAUGCGUACUUGUACCUUUUAUGUGCUUUACUUUUCGAGCUAAGGAGCUAUAUACAUAUGUAUACCUAUAUCAGAUACUCGAUCGCUGUCGAGACCAAUCAGAACUAAAUCCUAGAUUUUGUAUAAAACAAAUAAUAAUUGAGCAAUUAUUUGAAGAUCGGUUUGCGAGCUCGUACUGGCAAGAGGAGAGUGCGAGGUGUGAGUUCAUAUUGAAAAGGGGAGAGUGAGAGCUCGUACGUAUAAGAGGAGGUGGAAACUUGUACUAAGAAAAGGGGAGUGUGAGCUCGUACUGGCAAGAGGGGGAAGGGAGCUCAUACUGAAAAAAGGGGAAGUAGCUUAUACUGGGGUUAUUAACCUGUCACAACCACUUACAUUUCCGUCAAAAGUAUUUGACUCACAACUUGAGUUCUACGAAACGUAAUGAUAAAUGUAGUGUCGUUAUUGUUAUCAGUUCUUAGUCAAUAGGAAAUAUCUGUAAUGAAUACGUCUAGACGAAUGUACGUAUGCUGUUUUUUUCACGUAAUUUUGCAAAAUAAUCGGUUUGCGGUUGUAGCGAGAAUUCCGAGCUGUGCGAUCCAGUCAGCUUAUUUUAUAAAGAUGAAAACAAAGUUGUAGAGAUACAAAUCCACAAACUCUUUCCUUUCAGAUUAUAACAUUUUAAAGGCACAUUAUUCUUAUCGAUAUUCGCUAUCUGAAUCUGAUUAGUUCCGUGAGGUUGUUUAUCAGUUUACUGAUAAAUUUUUUAACACACGUUAUUCAUCGGUAGAUAAGACUGAUUAGUUCUUUGUUUAUGGUGCUAAAAGACAUUGAGUAAAAGCAGCAGCAUUUUGAUUACUGCGAUUUUCUGAUUACGUUUAUCUUCCUUUGCGUAUAGUAAUAUAAUUCAGAGACUUCGCGGAAUUUAUAGCACUGUUAAUUAUAUCAAUAAUAGUUAUACCGUGGAAUUGGUAUAAGUCCAUUCAUUCAUACAUUGAGAUAUUUAUGUGUUUGCGUUUGAAUUAACUACAAAAUGUUGGCAAACGUUAAUUAAUUGUAGGUAAUAUUUUUCAAAACUACCAGCUUAUAAAAUUGUAUUAUACAUUAUUAAUAAAAUUGUUAAAGAAAAUAAAAAGUUAUUCUAGCUACAAAUGAAUUGGUGUCCCUUUCAGUAAUAAUAAAGAUUUUAUGAGAAAUAUGGACAAUAUCAAUUUUAAUUUUAUUAUUAAUUAAUGUAAUUAUUAAUGUAAUAAUUAAUAAUUGACUCGAUUAAGAAGUUAUUUUAAUUAUUACUCGUUAUAAAGGGACUUAUCUUACUUUUAGAAAAACCAUUUAUGUAAUAAUAUUGUACAGGCAAAUUUCUUUUCGAUGAAUUUAUAAAAAUAUUGUAUACUAUUGACUGUCUAUUGUAAAUAUCAGAAGUAUGAGUAUGAGUGUUUGAGUAGUGAUACGGAGCACUCAGUCUCCGUGGACCAUUAUACUCGGGCCCAUAUGGGCAGGUAUUACGUAGGAGAAAGCAAGAGGCCGGGCUCCUGCGCUCGACCUCCCAAAUAGGUGGAUUCCAGGUGUCGGGGUCCUAGGAUUCUCGCUCUGGAGUCCUCUAGUGCCCUACAUCCUCCAAUCACAUGCAGAUUAUCAAUAUCAAAAGAAUAUAUCUGUGUCUAAAAAUUAGAUUAAUUCGUUGAGACAAACUUUUUCACAAAAAAAAAACAACUAAAUAUUGUUUUGAGUAACUCAAUUAAAAAAAAAUUAGACUUAUACUAUUUUUAUAAUAAACAUCUCACAUGUGAAUUAACAUUUCACCUGUCCACCACUCAUGUAUGGGUUUUUUUAUUGACGACAUACGAGUUUUAGGACAGGGCUUUUCAUUAAGGAACUAAAAUAAUCAAUUCUAAAGGUAAGGUGUUAAAUUAUAUACAUAGGUUUCAAUUAUCCCAAAAUAUAAUCUUAAAAAUAUUCACAAGUAUUCGUCUGGCAGUGAGCGUGUUAAAGGGAAAUGGGUAAAGAAGUUUCAAGAGUGGGUGCCUGGUAAACUUAAAAUGAGAAUCAGCAAUACGAACGUCAUUCGAUCGAACCAUUUUUUAAUCGAAUAGAGGCUCGUGACGAGAAUGGAUAAUGUAUGAUAAUCGCGAAUUUAACGGCUGGAAGAUUACGAAUGAUAACAGUCUCUACCAAAACUAAGUUUAUAAAAUUUACACUCCUAAAAAUAUAAUACGUGUUCAUGUAUUUGCUUAAAAUAAUGUGAAUUUGUCACCGUUCUAACUGUGAAUCAAAGACGAGCAAAAUGUUUUUUUUUUUUCAUUACAAACGAUUUGAAUGACUAUCUUCUUAAUUUGUAUUCUGCCUGUGUACAAAUGAUUAAUUCUCAUAUUGUAUUCGGUACCUGUAUACUAGUUAUAGAGUGCUAUGAAUAUAAUUACAUACUCAACUAUUUCUACAUUUCUUAUAGCAUUAAAAUAAAUUUUUGAAUGAACGAUUUGUAUUUUCAUAAGGAGAUACAAAAUAAAAGUUAUUAGAAAUAAUAAACGAAUUAUUUUCUACUUCAGAAAUCAAAUAUAAUUGUAUUUCGUGUUGUAAACAAAUGUAAAUGUAAUAUUAACUCUAAUUGCUUUUAAUUCAUCAUUCUAUAGAUUUUCUUUUACUUUCUAUUGCAAAAUGUAAUUUGUAAUCGCAGCCACAAUUGCGUAUAUUUCAGCAGGGAACCUGUAAUUGUAGCCGGUAUCGAUAAGCGUUUACAAGUUAUUGAUCACGUAAUCAGUUUAUAAAUAUAAUUGCUUAAAAUUAUACUCUGACGGUCGGUAACUAAUUGUAUGGUACUGUCUAGAUAGUACCACUUGUAAAUCUCAUUAAUUUAAUUUGUUAUCCUCUCAAGUUGUGUUGAGGGGAAGAUUAGAUUUUGGAUUUAUCAUCAAUUUCUUUGAAGUCUCUUAUCUGUAAUUCCUUAUU